rnacentral:rRNA from 1 species
CAUGCAAGUCGAACGAUGAAGCCCAGCUUGCUGGGUGGAUUAGUGGCGAACGGGUGAGUAACACGUGAGUAACCUGCCCUUAACUCUGGGAUAAGCCUGGGAAACUGGGUCUAAUACCGGAUAGGAGCGCCUACCGCAUGGUGGGUGUUGGAAAGAUUUAUCGGUUUUGGAUGGACUCGCGGCCUAUCAGCUUGUUGGUGAGGUAAUGGCUCACCAAGGCGACGACGGGUAGCCGGCCUGAGAGGGUGACCGGCCACACUGGGACUGAGACACGGCCCAGACUCCUACGGGAGGCAGCAGUGGGGAAUAUUGCACAAUGGGCGCAAGCCUGAUGCAGCGACGCCGCGUGAGGGAUGACGGCCUUCGGGUUGUAAACCUCUUUCAGUAGGGAAGAAGCGAAAGUGACGGUACCUGCAGAAGAAGCACCGGCUAACUACGUGCCAGCAGCCGCGGUAAUACGUAGGGUGCGAGCGUUAUCCGGAAUUAUUGGGCGUAAAGAGCUCGUAGGCGGUUUGUCGCGUCUGUCGUGAAAGUCCGGGGCUUAACCCCGGAUCUGCGGUGGGUACGGGCAGACUAGAGUGCAGUAGGGGAGACUGGAAUUCCUGGUGUAGCGGUGGAAUGCGCAGAUAUCAGGAGGAACACCGAUGGCGAAGGCAGGUCUCUGGGCUGUAACUGACGCUGAGGAGCGAAAGCAUGGGGAGCGAACAGGAUUAGAUACCCUGGUAGUCCAUGCCGUAAACGUUGGGCACUAGGUGUGGGGACCAUUCCACGGUUUCCGCGCCGCAGCUAACGCAUUAAGUGCCCCGCCUGGGGAGUACGGCCGCAAGGCUAAAACUCAAAGGAAUUGACGGGGGCCCGCACAAGCGGCGGAGCAUGCGGAUUAAUUCGAUGCAACGCGAAGAACCUUACCAAGGCUUGACAUGUUCUCGAUCGCCGUAGAGAUACGGUUUCCCCUUUGGGGCGGGUUCACAGGUGGUGCAUGGUUGUCGUCAGCUCGUGUCGGGAGAUGUUGGGUUAAGUCCCGCAACGAGCGCAACCUUCGUUCCAUGUUGCCAGCCNGUCAUGGGGGGGACUCAUGGGAAGACUGCCGGGGUCAACUCCGGAGGAAGGUGAGGACGAC